rnacentral:rRNA from 1 species
AUUGAACGCUGGCGGCAGGCCUAACACAUGCAAGUCGAACGAGUCGCGGGCGGGUGUGUAAUGUUUGGGAAUCUGCGUUAUGGAGGGGGAUAACGACGGGAAACUGUCUCUAAUACCGCAUACCAUGAUAUGCGCCCAAGUGGGUAUAGGUAGUGGGUGGGGUAAUGGCCCACCAAGGCGACGAUCUCUAGCUGGUCUGAGAGGAUGACCAGCCACACUGGGACUGAGACACGGCCCAGACUCCUACGGGAGGCAGCAGUGGGGAAUAUUGCGCAAUGGGGGCAAGCCUGAUGCAGCCAUGCCGCGUGUAUGAAGAAGGCCCUAGGGUUGUAAAGUACUUUCGGUGGGGAGGCGUUACUGACAGAAGAAGCACCGGCUAACUCCGUGCCAGCAGCCGCGGUAAUAC